rnacentral:rRNA from 1 species
GACGAACGCUGGCGGCGUGCUUAACACAUGCAAGUCGAACGGAAAGGCCCUGCUUUUGUGGGGUGCUCGAGUGGCGAACGGGUGAGUAACACGUGAGUAACCUGCCCUUGACUUUGGGAUAACUUCAGGAAACUGGGGCUAAUACCGGAUAGGAGCUCCUGCUGCAUGGUGGGGGUUGGAAAGUUUCGGCGGUUGGGGAUGGACUCGCGGCUUAUCAGCUUGUUGGUGGGGUAGUGGCUUACAAAGGCUUUGACGGGUAGCCGGCCUGAGAGGGUGACCGGCCACAUUGGGACUGGGAUACGGCCCAGACGCCUACGGGAGGCAGCAGUGGGGAAUAUUGCACAAUGGGCGGAAGCCUGAUGCAGCAACGCCGCGUGCGGGAUGACGGCCUUCGGGUUGUAAACCGCUUUCGCCUGUGACGAAGCGUGAGUGACGGUAAUGGGUAAAGAAGCACCGGCUAACUACGU